UACAGAGGGUGCAAGCGUUGUUCGGAAUUAUUGGGCGUAAAGGGCGUGUAGGCGGUUUGCUAAGUCAUGUGUGAAAUCCCCCGGCUUAACCGAGGAACGACGCAUGAUACUGGCAAGCUAGAGUACCAAAGAGGGGGGUGGAAUUCCUGGUGUAGCGGUGAAAUGCGCAGAUAUCAGGAGGAACACCGGUGGCGAAGGCAGGUCUCUGGGCAUUAACUGACGCUGAGGAGCGAAAGCAUGGGGAGCGAACAGG
rnacentral:rRNA from 1 species